GUAUGAUUUUCAUUAUGGUUUAGCUGCAGAAGGUCAUCCAAGUCAUAUUGGUUCCAAAUACCUCAAUGAUCUGAAAGGACUCAUAGAACAUAACAUUUGCUCUUUUUAGGUGUUAUUUUAGCUAAUGUCAGUUUUUUUUUUUUUUGCUGGUUUUAGCUGCUGUUUAGGUGUUGUUUCUAGCUAAAUUCAGCUUCUUUUUUGGCUCUUGUUAGUUGCUGUUUUUAGCUAAUUUCAACAUUUUUUUUUUGCUCUGUUUAGGUGCUGUUUUAGCGGUUCUUUUUAGCUAAUUUCAGUUUUUUGGUUGGUUUUAGCUGCUUUUUAGGUGUUGUUUUUCAGCAGUUUGUAGCAAAUUUCAACUUCUUUUCUUGCUCUGUUUAGGUGCUGUUUUAGCUAAUUUCAAUUUUUCAUUUUUUUUUCUUGCUGGUUUUAGCUAAUUUUAGCUUCUUCUUUUUGCUCUUUUUAGCUGUUGUUUAGGUGUUGUUUUAGCUGCUGUUUUUAGGUAAUUUCAUUUUUUUUUGCUGGUUUUAGCUGCUAUUUAGGUGUUGUUUUUAGCUAAUUUCAAUUUCUUUUUUUGCUCUUUUUAGCUGUUGUUUUCAGCUGUUUCUAGCUAAUUUCAGCUUUUAUUUUUGCUCUUUUUAGCUGCUGUUUUAGCUGAAAUAAUUUCAGCUCCUUUUUAGCUAAUUUCAGCUCUUAGUUUUGUUGUUUUAGCAUCUGAUUUUGAGCUGUUUUUCAAGGAUUAAAUCCAGUUGUUCAAGAGUUACUUCCAGAAUGUGAAUGUUUGCAAGGCAUAUACUUGCAAGAUGGUCACAAGAUUGGAAGGGUAUUGAAACAAGAAAAAAUUUUGGGCUUGUGCCAGAUCAACAUUUGAAGCUCAACUCAGGAGGAACUUGGACAAAUUAGCACUAUUAGGUGAAGGUAUUUCUAACAGCUUAGCAAGCUCUAAUCCUGAAAGAUGGUCCAAAGCAAUGUUCAAGACAACUUCAAAAUGUGACAGUGUGGAUAACAAUAUGGCUGAAAGCUUCAAUGCUUGGGUGUUGGGUACUAGGCACAAGACUAUUAUCAGUAUGCUUGAACAGAUUAGGACAAAGGUAAUGAAUAGGUUCACCAAGGUGGCAGCAUUUGCAGAUAGCUGGACCUAUGACAUUCCCCAUUGGCAAUGUCGGUAUUAAAUACAAAUGUGGAGAUGUCAACUAGGGUGGACAUUAAGUGGAAUGGUGAUAUUGGAUAUGAAGUGAAGGAUGGUCGAUGUAAACAUGUGGUUAACCUAAUUCAGGGAACUUGUACUUGCAGAAUUUGGGUACUGAAAAGGAUUCCUUGUGCACAUGUAAUAGCAGCCAUGCAUCACGAUGAAGCCAAUCCCUUUGACGCAGUUUCUACAUAGUACAGAAAAGAGACCUACCUGAGAGCUUAUGAAAAUUUCUUACAACCAAUAACCAAUAUAGAGAUGUGGCCUGAGACAUCAAAUCCAAAAGUUGAGCUACCUCCUUUUAGGAAAAUGCCCAGAAGGCCUUCAAAAAAGAGAAAGAAGGAGCUUGGAGAGGUAUCAAAUUGUGGAAAGCUUUCAAAGAGGGGAAAAAUCACGAGGUGCUCAGUUUGUAGGCCAACAAAUCACAAUAUAAGACCAUGUCCAAACAAACCUCCCGCCACUUCAAAGGGAGUAGCUACAUCACAAGUAUCCACCAGUGUAAAAAAAUCAAGGGCGCACAUAGAAAAAGAUGCUACAAGCAACGGUGGUAAAGGAAGUCCCAAGCAGCAAUCUAUUCGUCUCAGCCCUCUCAAGCAGUGCAACAAUCUCAAUCCUCUCAACCAUCUCAAGCAACAGUGAAAAGUGGUAGUGGUAGUGGAAGUAAAAAAGGUACAAACAAUACAUUUAAGAGGCCAAGAGUAGUGGUCCAUGGCGUGUUUGUGAGCAAAAACGGCUUUACUUGUGCUGAGCAAGGAUGACCUACCAGUAGGGUAAUCAAAAGUGGAGCACAAGAGAAAUUGAUAAGUUCAGCAGUUGUGACUGGUGAUCUUGGUUAUGCACCAAGUAAAGGUCUCAAACAGAAUGGAAACAAGGCAAUCACAGGAAGGCAACUUCAACAUAAAAGUGUAUCGCUUAGGUAUAUGAAAACCAAGUCACAAGCUUCACCACAAAGUGCAACAAAAGCUGGAGGUGUUUAGGAAAGACUUAACUGAUCUUUGUUGCGGUUCGAACUACUUUAACUAGAAGUGUUUAGGAAAGACGAGACUGAUUUUUUGUUGUGGUUCAAACUAUUUUUAAGUUAUGUAUUUUGAUUGUGAAUAUGGUAGUACUGAUUUUUGGUCAUGUAUGGUGACUGAUUUGCAGCCCAAAUAGUUAUUGUAUGGUGACUGCUUUUUGACUAGUAGUUAUUGAAUGGUGUUGUUUAACAUUCAGUUCAGUUCUUUAAGUGAAUGUUGUUUUUAAUGUAUGAUUAUUGUUGUGUUAUGUGAGAACAACAAAAGGAGGAAGUUUUGUUGGUGAAUAGAGAUAAGAUUGAGGUACAAGAA